rnacentral:rRNA from 1 species
UACGUAGGGGGCAAGCGUUGUCCGGAAUCAUUGGGCGUAAAGCGCGUGUAGGCGGUUCGGUAAGUCUGCUGUGAAAGUCCAGGGCUCAACCCUGGGAUGCCGGUGGAUACUGUCGAACUAGAGUACGGAAGAGGCGAGUGGAAUUCCCGGUGUAGCGGUGGAAUGCGCAGAUAUCAGGAGGAACACCGAUGGCGAAGGCAGGUCUCUGGGCCAUUACUGACACUGAGAAGCGAAAGCAUGGGGAGCGAACAGG